CUAAUCGGAAAAGACUACCCGCUGAGUUUAAGCAU
rnacentral:rRNA from 1 species